GCGGCUGGUGGCUGUGGUGCUGUUGCUGCUGAUGUCUCUCCUUUGCCUCCUGUUUGCUACUGGACCUCUCCUUGUCCUUCACAGGACACCUGAGAGUGGCCUGAACCUGCCCUGGACAUUGGUGGCAGACUGUGAUUGGCUGAGAUGAGAGGAGGCUGGGACGGGAGACCUCGAAGGUAGAAGUUUUCUGUGAGAAGAAGGAAGGCAAAGACAAACGAAUUAGUGAAGAAAGGAAAAGGCGAUGACAGAAUUUGAUUGUACAGCUUCAUGAUAGUUUCCCUAGGCAUUCUUAUAUCAGUAUCCCACAUCAAAUUACACCAUACCAUGUUGAAUAAAUUGGAUUUAACUAUGUUA